rnacentral:rRNA from 1 species
UACGUAGGCAGCGAGCGUUGUUCGGAGUUACUGGGCGUAAAGAGUGCGUAGGCGGUUUUCUAAGUUUGGUGUGAAAUCUCCCGGCUUAACUGGGAGGGUGCGCCGAAUACUGGAAGGCUUGAGUAUGGGAGAGGUAAGCGGAAUUCCUGGUGUAGCGGUGAAAUGCGUAGAUAUCUGGAGGAAUACCGGUGGCGAAGGCGGCAUCCUGGACCGACAUUGACGCUGAUGAGCGAAAGCUAGGGGAGCAAACGGG